GGGAACAUGAACCGGACCACUCUCUCAGCCCGGGCACUUUUGGAGUGGACAAAGAAGACGGGGGCUCUGCGAUCUUGUGUGCUUGCUCACUGGCAAGGCGAACGCAGACUCAGGUUCCUCCAGCAAGGUCCACCUCCGUUUUCCCUUCUGCUUCCCAGGGGCCAAAAGGACACAGGGGUCAACCCAGCACUGAUCCAUCCAGAGGACGCCCACCCACACACCCACACACCAGGCCGUGAGCAAGUCAGCCCCGCGAGCCUUGGUGCUGAGAGCUGUGGAGUCAUUUCAGCCACAUCUUUCUCCUGCGCGCUCUUCCCUGCGGCUUGGAGGCGAGCCUGGAGGAAGAGGAGCCACGGGAGAGGCUGGAAGGCUGAUAAAUAGCCUGGGAGAGAUUUCUGGAUUCCUCUUGCGCAACAAUUCCAUCAUGGCUGUAGAAGAGUCUGUAGCAGUUACAUAAUCUCCUGUCAACUUUCGAAGGGGUGGAGUCUAGCCUGUCAAUCAGGUCAUAGCCUGAUGAC